rnacentral:rRNA from 1 species
UCCGUAGGCGGGCAAUUAAGUCAGAGGUGAAAUCCCACAGCUCAACUGUGGAACUGCCUUUGAUACUGAUUGUCUUGAGUUAUAGUGAAGUAGAUAAAAUGUGUAGUGUAGCGGUGAAAUGCAUAGAUAUUACACAGAAUACCGAUUGCGAAGGCAGUCUACUAACUGUAUACUGACGCUAAUGGACGAAAGCGUGGGGAGCGAACAGGAUUAGAUACCCUGGUAGUC